UACGUAGGCAGCGAGCGUUGUUCGGAGUUACUGGGCGUAAAGAGUGCGUAGGCGGUUUUCUAAGUUUGGUGUGAAAUCUCCCGGCUUAACUGGGAGGGUGCGCCGAAGACUGGAAGGCUUGAGUAUGGGAGAGGUAAGCGGAAUUCCUGGUGUAGCGGUGAAAUGCGUAGAGAUGUGGAGGAAUACCGAUGGCGAAGGCAGCCUCCUGGGCCAACACUGACGCUCAUGCACGAAAGCGUGGGGAGCAAACAGG
rnacentral:rRNA from 1 species